UUUUUGUUGCUUGUUAAACCUCCUACAACCGUAACCGUAAUAUCCCUUGAGCGUGGUGUGACAUGUAAAAGCACUAAGCCCAGCAUGCGAUGAUAUCGAUCUUCCUCCCCACUACAGAGAUAUGAUAUUGAUGUUAAUCACUUCUUAUCGUGUGAAAAAAUAGUUCGGAAUGCACUGGAACGCAAAAAUAGCGAGGCCAACAGCUGCAGCUCUGUUCUCGUCCGCCGAGCAAGCGAGCCAAAAUAAAACCACACCUCCAACCGGAUUUGAUUGUUCUCUUGUUACGUUGUAGCUCUCUUUGUUUGUAAUGUAGUAAUUACGAUGUUUCACGGAAAACUACCAGAUCUGUCAUGCAAAGUCUGUUCAGAUUUAUUAUUUUACAAAUUAUAUUUACAACAAUGUCAAUCUUGUGGCAAGUCAUUAAAAUUCUUAUUUCUUGACAGUGAACGAAACUUUCAACGUCAAAUACAUGAACUGUAACAUCCAUGAACUGUUAAGAAUUACAUCGACUAUUCAUGGCUAAGAAUAAAUUAUUCUCCCAAAGGGAAUCGUGUUUUCCUUUUUGCUAUCUUUUCAGCCAAUAUUUCGGCAUGUCCAUAACUUUCUGAGGCUUGCUGCUUCUCGCUUCACCUCCUGAUAGUACAGUCUGUCAAAUCUGCGUUAACCACUUGAAGUUCGGGUAAAGCGUUCAGUUGCUCUAAUUCCAUCUCGAGGAUUAAAGAUGUUAGGGCAUCGUCGUCGGGAAUAACUAAGUCGCAUCCAGACGAAUUAAAGCUGGUUAAGUCUCUAUCUUGUACCCCGAAUUUUCCACUCUUAUGAACACAAUGUGGAAUAGGAUAUGCGUUCGAGUAAGUAAAAAUGCUUCCUUCUGAGCAUCUGCGAGUUGGAUUUCCACUCGUACAUGAAAAGGGCCCAGGACUUGAAAUAGGUCUGGUUAAAGACGGAGUUGUGGUUGUAACGGCGAUAUUAUUCAGUACCAGAGCCAUCUGUUCUGUUUUGCUCCGAGCGUCACGCUGAUGUGUACGUUCUCAACGGUGGUCUGAGUUGUUGAUCACGAAAUUCAAACUCUCCUUUAUACCCGUCACAAUUGACAAACGAGCUAUUAAUAGAAAGUUACCGCAAGGUCAGAUGAGGGCAGCCACAGUUUCGUCAGCCACGCAGAUGGAAAUCGAGAUGGCAAAUAUUUACCUGUCGUUGAGGGAUAUCGAUAAGGAAAUGUGAACUCGAAGCAGACGAUUGGUUGCUGAUACCUAUCAUGCAAGGAAACGUUUCAUCGAUAUUUCAAGUAAAACGAAUAUGGAACAACGCCAAAGACAUUCCUCUCAGUGUUAAAAAAGCCAUCCAUCUGUUUGCUUUCCGUUAUUUCGACAAAACAUGUCAAAGGAGCCACAAGGGACUUCUUCCUAGUUCGUGUUGGUAUGAGAACAGCUGAAACCACAGAUAAUAGAAAGAACAGAUUUCGUCACAUCCGGCAGUUGAUUCUAAAUUCAGCGCGGGUAGAAGUAUUAGUGAGUUCAUGAACUUAAAUUUGUCUUCUGUAAAUGCAUUCCUUUUGCAAGCCUCGUUUUCUUCUGAAAGGUCAGCCAAGAGAUCUUGCAUAUAUUAUCAUUGAAAAGAAAAAAAAAAAUUCGUCUUCACCUUCAAACAAACUUUCGGAAAUACGCUGACGGCUGUGAGGGUUUCUUUGAACGCGAAUACCAUUCUUUGAACCGUUGAAAAACCGAGUGAAAAUCAAUUAACUGAACAGAAAAUAAAACAAAACAAAACAAACACGAGAGUAAGGUUCGAAACAAGUGUUGAAACCGAACAACUUCAUCAUAGCUCGAGGUUCAUAACCGCUUCGGGGAGUUCUAAUAGGAAUAAGCGAUUGCGAAACUUUUUGUCAAAACUGUCUUAACGAUAUUAUUCAAGUGCACUCGAGAUAAACACUUUUGGACAGGGCUGAUUUAAAUAAUUGUUUUUCAAUCAAUAUGAACGUGUCGAAGUUUGCUAUUUCAUGAAUUCCUACAGCAAAAAGAAAAAAAAACGCUUGAACCAUGCAAUCCAGUAAUUUGGUAUGAAAAUUCUAAAUCGAUGAGGUUCCUUGCAUUAUUCUGAGGAACCCCAGAGGAGGUGUUUUUUCAACACGUCAUAACAAAGAAUCCUCAAGAUCACUUUAAAAGGGUGCAGUAGUUUGAAAAGCGACUCACCACAAACCCUCGACACACUUGAUCUUUUAUUUCCUUUGCUAUGAAAUUAGUUCGUGACGUCAGUUCUUGUUUUCACGUCAUGCUUGACCGGGAAGGGCUUGGUGACACCUGCUUAGUUGCACGUGAUCUCUUUCACACAUGGUAUAAAGUUAUAGUCAUUUCGUUUUAUCAUUCAUUGAAGAAAAGCGGAACAUACCAAGUUUGUCGCGUCAUAAACCUUUUACACUAGUUACCCCGCUUCAGAGGAAAUUCUAUGGGGGUACUGAAGUGACACCAUGACAAAGCAACAAACCGGCUAAAAAUAAAAUCACCCAAAUAUGUAUCACGUUCUGUGGAUGACAGAAUGCAAAAGUGUCGUCCGUUCGCUUUUAACUUUUUAUAACCCUGUGCGCCCUAACAUCAGUUUCCAUAUUCUCCAUAUCCCUCCUUCCUUUUGUACUCACGGGGAGAAUUUAUUUGACAAUCAAAGCUUCUUAGGUUGACUAUCGUUUCCCUGUCUCUAUUUUCAUGACCUUGAUGCGAUACGGUUGGGAGAAAUUAAUGCUUAUCACUCUUAAGGAGAAAGGAUUUGAGAGCGUGCAAUCUUCCUUUCUUGUUGAAUGGGCUUGAGCGGUGCGUCAGUAUUUGAGACACGUUCAAAAAUCCGGGUGACACAGCCAACUCGUUGUCAAGCAAAGAUUCCUUAUAAGGAAACUAUAUCAAGAUAAACGGAUUUAUUUACGGUUUGCCGAGCUUUGUAUAACGCUUGUUCCACUAACAUCUUAUGGCGAGAGCUCUACAAAAAACACUUUGUGAUCGCUCCGUCA